AGAUGAAAAUGAGAGUGAGAAUGGGAGUAAGGAUGAGAUUGAGAGAGAGGAUAAGAGGGGAGGAUGGGAGGGAGUUGUAACAAAAGUGAAAACAAAAACUUGAGUGUGAAAACAAUUUCAAAUAGAUUUCAGUUUUUAGUUUUUGUUUUCACUAUUGUUACUUCUUCCUCCCAUCCUCCUCUCUCAUAUUCCCUC
rnacentral:miRNA from 1 species